rnacentral:rRNA from 1 species
UACGUAGGGUGCGAGCGUUAAUCGGAAUUACCGGGCGUAAAGCGUGCGCAGGCGGCUAUGUAAGACAGGUGUGAAAUCCCCGGGCUCAACCUGGGAAUUGCAUCUGUGACUGCAUAGCUAGAGUACGGUAGAGGGGGAUGGAAUUCCGCGUGUAGCAGUGAAAUGCGUAGAUAUGCGGAGGAACACCGAUGGCGAAGGCAAUCCCCUGGACCUGUACUGACGCUCAUGCACGAAAGCGUGGGGAGCAAACAGG